rnacentral:lncRNA from 1 species
AUGCCAUCCAGACUGAGGAAGACCCAGAAACUUCGGGGCCAUGUGAGCCAUGGCCAUGGCCGCAUAGGCAAGCUCCAAAAGCACCCCAGAGGCCACAGUAAUGCUGGUGGAAUGCAUCACCACAGGAUCAACUUCAACAAAUACUACCCAGGUUACUUUGGGAAAGUUGGUAUGAGGUAUUACAAGAGAAACCAGAGUUUCUGCCCAGCUGUCAGCCUUGACAAAUUGUGGACUUUGGUCAGUGAGCAGACACAGGUGAAUGCUGCUAAAAACAAGCCUGGGGCUGCUCCCCUCAUUGAUGUGGUGCAAUCGGGCUACUACAAAGUUCUGGGAAAGGAAAAGCUCCCAAAGCAGCCUGUCAUUGUGAAGGCCAAAUUCUUCAGCAGAAGAGCUGAGAAGAUUAAGGGUGUCAAGGGGACCUGUGUCCUGGUGGCU